GCAUCCUUAGCUCAGUUGGUAGAGCAUCAGUCUCAUAGCAGUGCGCUGAGUGUCAUCAGUUCGAUCCUGAUAGGGGGCA